rnacentral:rRNA from 1 species
UGGGGAAUCUUGCACAAUGGGCGAAAGCCUGAUGCAGCAACGCCGCGUGAGUGAAGAAGGCCUUUGGGUUGUAAAGCUCUUUCGGCUGGGAAGAAGGGAGUAUGUGCUAAUACCACAUGCUUUUGACGGUACCAGCAUAAGAAGCACCGGCUAAUUCCGUGCCAGCAGCCGCGGUAAUACGGGAGGUGCAAGCGUUGUUCGGAGUGACUGGGCGUAAAGCGCACGUAGGUGGGCUUGUAAGUCGGAUGUGAAAUCCCCGGGCUUAACCUGGGAACUGCAUCCGAAACUAUAAGUCUUGAAUGCUUCAGAGGUUGGUAGAAUUCCUGGUGUAGGAGUGAAAUCCGUAGAUAUCAGGAGGAAUACCGGAGGCGAAGGCGGCCAACUGGGAGUGCAUUGACAC